rnacentral:rRNA from 1 species
AUUGAACGCUGGCGGCAGGCCUAACACAUGCAAGUCGAACGAGUGGCGGACGGGUGAGUCAUGUCUGGGAAACUGCCUGAUGGAGGGGGAUAACUACUGGAAAAGGUAGCUAAUACCGCAUACCAUCGGAUGUGCCCAGAUGGGAUUAGCUGGUAGGUGGGGUAAAGGCUCACCUAGGCGACGAUCCCUAGCUGGUCGGAGAGGAUGACCGGCCAGACGGGAACUGAGACACGGUCCAGACUCCUACGGGAGGAGGCGGUGGGGAAUUUUGCAAAAUGGGCGCAAGCCGGAUGCAGCCAUGCGGGGUGUAUGAAGAAGGCCUUCGGGUUGUAAAGUACUUUCAGCGGGGAGGCGUUACCCGCAGAAGAAGCACCGGCUAACUCCGUGCCAGCAGCCGCGGUAAUAC